GAUGAAGAACGCAGCGAAAUGCGAUAAGUAAUGUGAAUUGCAGAAUUCAGUGAAUCAUCGAAUCUUUGAACGCACAUUGCGCCCGCCAGCAUUCUGGCGGGCAUGCCUGUUCGAGCGUCAUUUCAACCCUCGACCUCCCCUUGGGGAGGUCGGCGUUGGGGACCGGCAGCACACCGCCGGCCCUGAAAUGGAGUGGCGGCCCGUCCGCGGCUACCUCUGCGCAGUAAUACAGCUCGCACCGGGACCCCGACGCGGCCACGCCGUAAAACACCCAACUUCUGAACGUUGACCUCGAAUCAGGUAGGACUACCCGCUGAACUUAAGCAUAUCAAUAAGCGGAGGA
rnacentral:misc_RNA from 1 species